rnacentral:tRNA from 1 species
GGGAAUGUGGCUUAGUGGUAGAGUACUUGCCUAGCACACAUGAAGCCCUGGGUUCGAUUCCUCAGUACCA